rnacentral:rRNA from 1 species
GAACUGAAGAGUUUGAUCCUGGCUCAGAUUGAACGCUGGCGGAAUGCUUUACACAUGCAAGUCGAACGGCAGCACGGGAGCUUGCUCCUGGUGGCGAGUGGCGAACGGGUGAGUAAUGCGUCGGAACGUACCGAGUAAUGGGGGAUAACGCAGCGAAAGCUGUGCUAAUACCGCAUACGCCCUGAGGGGGAAAGUGGGGGAUCGCAAGACCUCACGUUAUUCGAGCGG